AACGCGUGGGUAACCUGCCCUUGAAUCGGGGAUAACUUCGCGAAAGCGAGGCUAAUACCGGAUACUGUCCCUAAGGCUGUGGCCCUGGGGAUGAAAGGUGACCUCUUCAUGAAAGUUGCCGUUUGGGGAGGGGCUCGCGUACCAUUAGCUUGUUGGCGGGGUAAUAGCCCACCAAGGCGACGAUGGUUAGCUGGUCUGAGAGGAUGAUCAGCCACACUGGAACUGAAACACGGUCCAG
rnacentral:rRNA from 1 species